GAAAAAGACAAAAGAC
rnacentral:sRNA from 1 species